AUUGAACGCUGGCGGCAGGCCUAACACAUGCAAGUCGAGCGGUAGAGAGAAGCUUGCUUCUCUUGAGAGCGGCGGACGGGUGAGUAAUACCUGGGAAUCUGCCUGAUAGUGGGGGAUAACGUUCGGAAACGGACGCUAAUACCGCAUACGUCCUACGGGAGAAAGCAGGGGAUCUUCGGACCUUGCGCUAUCAGAUGAGCCCAGGUCGGAUUAGCUUGUUGGUGAGGUAACGGCUCACCAAGGCUGCGAUCCGUAACUGGUCUGAGAGGAUGAUCAGUCACACUGGAACUGAGACACGGUCCAGACUCCUACAGGAGGCAGCAGUGGGGAAUAUUGGACAAUGGGGGAAACCCUGAUCCAGCCAUGCCGCGUGUGUGAAGAAGGUCUUCGGAUUGUAAAGCACUUUAAGUUGGGAGGAAGGGCUGAUGCUUAAUACGUAUCAGUCUUGACGUUACCGACAGAAUAAGCACCGGCUAACUCUGUGCCAGCAGCCGCGGUAAUACAGAGGGUGCAAGCGUUAAUCGGAAUUACUGGGCGUAAAGCGCGCGUAGGUGGCUAAGUAAGAUGGGUGUGAAAUCCCCGGGCUCAACCUGGGAACUGCAUCCAUAACUGCUUGGCUAGAGUACGGUAGAGGGUAGUGGAAUUUCCUGUGUAGCGGUGAAAUGCGUAGAUAUAGGAAGGAACACCAGUGGCGAAGGCGACUACCUGGACUGAUACUGACACUGAGGUGCGAAAGCGUGGGGAGCAAACAGGAUUAGAUACCCUGGUAGUCCACGCCGUAAACGAUGUCAACUAGCCGUUGGGAACCUUGAGUUCUUAGUGGCGCAGCUAACGCACUAAGUUGACCGCCUGGGGAGUACGGUCGCAAGAUUAAAACUCAAAUGAAUUGACGGGGGCCCGCACAAGCGGUGGAGCAUGUGGUUUAAUUCGAAGCAACGCGAAGAACCUUACCUGGCCUUGACAUGCUGAGA
rnacentral:rRNA from 1 species